UUGCUUUGGCAGCACUUAUACUAAAAUUGGAAUGAUACAGAGAAUGUUGGCAUGGCCCCUGUGCAAGGGUGAUGCACAAGUCUGUCAAGUCUUCCAUAUGCUA